CUUAUUAAUCCAGAUUUACAAAAAAUAGAAAUAGUUCAGCUACCAUAAGACUGCUAUGACAAAAAUUCUGCAGUUUCCAGAAUUUGAGGUAGAGUAUAGUUAGGAAUAGUUUGAUUAUGCAGAUGCUUAGUUUGCCAUAAACAAUUAUGCCCUUGAUACAAAAGCAGAGGAAACAAAAAAGUAUGAAAAUAGUUGAAAAAAGUAAUCAUUAUUACCUAGUCAUAUACUGUAAAUAGAAAAAGAGAAAAGCACUGGUUAUGAUUUGGUAUUUUUAAUAGCAUUAUCAUUUGUCCAUAACUUGGAAUAUAUACUGGAUUGAGCUUGACAUUUAUUUAAUAUCAUUGACACAUGGUUGCAAGAAAUGAAAGAUGGUAAUUUAAACCUAGCAAUUUUAUUAAGAUUUAAAAAAAAAGCUUUUGAUUUGGUAGAAUAUGACUUUCUUUGUUUAAAGCUCGACAUGUAUGGAUUUAGUGAGACUACUGUUAGUUUUUUUAAGUCGUACCUGAAUAACAAAAGGUAUACAUUUGUAAUGUUAACUCUGAACAACAACAUGUAAAAUUUGGUGUUCCCCAAUGUUCUAUACCUUGUCCUCUAUUGUUUGUGCUAUUUAUAAAUGACCUUCCCUUAUGCAUUAAAAAUUGUGAAACAGACCUAUAUCGUUGUAUAUGCUGAUGACACCACUAUUCAUAAAUCAGGGGGAAACAUCUAGAAAAUAUAAAUGAUGAUGUUCAAGAAGAUUUAUACAGGGUUGAAGAGUGGUGUAAAAUGAAUAACAUGUUCAUAGAUGCAAAUGAAACAAAAUGUUUGAUUACUGGAACAAAGCAGAAACUAUUCAGACUUUUCAACCAAACUUGAUAAUAAAUUAAAGUAUUACAAAAUUCUUCAUGUGAAAAAAUAUUAGUUUCAAAAUUGACAGCCCACUAAGUAACUGGAGAAAUCAAAUUGACCAAGGUUGUGCUAAUAUAUCAUCCAGAAUAUACCAUCUUUCUUAAAUACAUUUUUUUUUAUAUAACUGCAAGAAAACAUAAUACAAUGGGUGUUCUGCCCCUAAUUGACUACUGUUGUAUUAUUUGGGAUGAAUGUAAAAAUUGAGGGAUAACAAGAAUUUUAAAAAUCCAAAAAAAGGGCAGCAUGAUAAAUUCUAGAUGCAGAUCCGUUAUCCCUCUUGGUAUAUAGGAGCACUAUAUUCUAUGUUAACCACCGACGGUAGGUAUAGACAAAUACUGUUGAUAGACGGUAUAUAGGAGCACUAUAUUGUAUGUUAACACCGACGGUAGGUAUAGACAAAUACUGGUUGAUAGACGGUAUAUAGGAGCACUAUAUUGUAUGUUAACCACCGACGGUAGGUAUAGACAAAUACUGUUGAUAGACGGUAUAUAGGAGCACUAUAUUGUAUGUUAACCACCGACGGUAGGUAUAGACAAAUACUGUUGAUAGACGGUAUAUAGGAGCACUAUAUUGUAUGUUAACCACCGACGGUAGGUAUAGACAAAUACUGUUGAUAGACGGUAUAUAGGAGCACUAUAUUGUAUGUUAACUACCGACAGUAGGUAUAGACAAAUACUGUUGAUAGACGGUAUAUAGGAGCACUAUAUUGUAUGUUAACCACCGACGGUAGGUAUAGACAAAUACUGUUGAUAGACGGUAUAUAGGAGCACUAUAUUUGUAUGUUAACCACCGACGGUAGGUAUAGACAAAUACUGUUGAUAGACGGUAUAUAGGAGCACUAUAUUGUAUGUUAACUACCGACGGUAGGUAUAGACAAAUACUGUUGAUAGACGGUAUAUAGGAGCACUAUAUUGUAUGUUAACCACCGACGGUAGGUAUAGACAAAUACUGUUGAUAGACGGUAUAUAGGAGCACUAUAUUGUAUGUUAACCACCGACGGUAGGUAUAGACAAAUACUGUUGAUAGACGGUAUAUAGGAGCACUAUAUUGUAUGUUAACCACCGACGGUAGGUAUAGACAAAUACUGUUGAUAGACGGUAUAUAGGAGCACUAUAUUGUAUGUUAACUACCGACAGUAGGUAUAGACAAAUACUGUUGAUAGACGGUAUAUAGGAGCACUACUAUAUUGUAUGUUAACCACCGACGGUAGGUAUAGACAAAUACUGUUGAUAGACGGUAUAUAGGAGCACUAUAUUGUAUGUUAACCACCGACGGUAGGUAUAGACAAAUACUGUUGAUAGACGGUAUAUAGGAGCACUAUAUUGUAUGUUAACCACCGACGGUAGGUAUAGACAAAUACUGUUGAUAGACGGUAUAUAGGAGACUAUAUUGUAUGUUAACCACCGACGGUAGGUAUAGACAAAUACUGUUGAUAUACGGUAUAUAGGAGUAUUGUAUUUUAUGUCAAACAUCGACGAUAGGUAUGGACAAAAUCCGACAAAUACUGUAUACAGACAGUGUAUAGAAGUACUGUAUUGUAUGGUAAACACUGACGGUUGGUAUGGACAAUUUCUGUAUCAUGCAUCAAUUGUAAAUAAAAGUAUCAUGUGAGUGACACAGGCUCAUUGAAGCCUCUAGUUUUGAUAUUAUUAAUGUGGAGAUCUGGUCUAAUUUAUCAUUUUCUUUAUUACAUGCAUGAAUGAUGAUAACUGCAACAAUUGAAUUGAAAUAAAAGUGAUAAUAUUUCUGUUGUAGGUUAUCAAGAUUUAGUGUUUCCAUACAAGUGACAAAGAUUGAACAACAAAAACAUCUCAAACUUUACAGGACAGAGUAGACUUUUUUCACUGUGCUUAGUUUUGUCUUUAUGUCUAAAUUAUGAUACCUUUUAAAAAAACCAAUAAA
rnacentral:lncRNA from 1 species